rnacentral:lncRNA from 1 species
AUCAGCCAGAAGGCUUUCUACUUCUUCUUCUCCCCUAGCCUCCCAGGAAGUGACAUGCCCAGAGUCCCAAGUCCACUGACCUGGGGACCAGUGUGGCUGCCAUAGCUGAGGAUAGUGGGCAUGUGGUAGCCAGCCCUGCCAAGAAGGACCAGGCUUGGCAAGGUGAACCUGGGACACUGCCCUCCUCACCACCAAGCAGAGCAGUUAAUCUGUGUCCAGAGAAACAUGGCCACAGCCCUGCUCAGACUCACACCUACAACAUGGUCGUGGGCUUUGGUGAGAUUUGGAAGAAGCAUCUCAGCAGAGAAUUUGGGAAACCAUAUUUUAUAAAGCUCAUGUGAUUUGUUGCAGUAGAAAGCAAGGAUUACACUGUUUAUCCUCUCCCACACCAAAUAUUCACCUGGACCUAGAUGUGUGACAUAAGAGAUGUGAAGGAUGUCAUUCCAAGACAGGAUCCAUAUCAUGUACCCCCCAUCAAGCUCGUGGGGUCUGCUUUAGUCUUCAAAGACCUGUUCCACCUCUGCCCAGUUUGGAAAACAUUUAUAAAGAGCUGUCUACAGACAUAGAUGGCUUUGUUCAUCCCAGCCAUGGAGAUGUAUCUGGGUGGGUCAAACAAGGUGUUUUACUCAACGCUGUCCUCACUGUUCCAGCCCAUCAAGCCAAUUCUCAUGAGGAGAGAGGCUGGGAGCAAUCUCUGCUAAUGCAACUGUGUCCUGGCUAAGCCAGAACUCCAAUGGCCUUGCUUUCUUGCUCUGGGGUUCUUAUGCUCAGGAGAGGACAGUGCCAUGGAGAGGAAGCGGCACCAUGUACUGCAAACGUCUCAUUCCUCCCUGUUGUCAGCGUAUAGUGGUUUCUUUGGAUGUAGACACUUUUCUAAGACCAAUGAGCUGCUGCAGAAGUCAGGCAAGAAGCCUACUGACCGGAAGGAGCUGUGA